UUCCGGUUGAUCCCGCCGGACCUGACUGCUAUCGGAUUGAUACUAAGCCAUGCGAGUCAUUGUAGCAAUACAAGGCAUACGGCUCAGUAACGCGUAGUCAACCUAACCUAUGGACGGGAAUAACCUCGGGAAACUGAGAAUAAUGCCCGAUAGAACAUUAUGCCUGGAAUGGUUUAUGUUCCAAAUGAUUUAUCGCCGUAGGAUGGGACUGCGGCCUAUCAGUUUGUUGGUGAGGUAAUGGCCCACCAAGACUAUUACAGGUACGGGCUCUGAGAGGAGUAGCCCGGAGAUGGGUACUGAGACACGGACCCAGGCCCUAUGGGGCGCAGCAGGCGAGAAAACUUUGCAAUGUGCGAAAGCACGACAAGGUUAAUCCGAGUGGUUUCUGCUAAAGGAACCUUUUGUCAGUCCUAGAAACACUGAUGAAUAAGGGGUGGGCAAGUUCUGGUGUCAGCCGCCGCGGUAAAACCAGCACCUCAAGUGGUCAGGAUGAUUAUUGGGCCUAAAGCAUCCGUAGCCGGCUCUGUAAGUUUUCGGUUAAAUCUGUACGCUCAACGUACAGGCUGCCGGGAAUACUGCAAAGCUAGGGAGUGGGAGAGGUAGACGGUACUCGGUAGGAAGGGGUAAAAUCCUUUGAUCUAUUGAUGACCACCUGUGGCGAAGGCGGUCUACCAGAACACGUCCGACGGUGAGGGAUGAAAGCUGGGGGAGCAAACCGGAUUAGAUACCCGGGUAGUCCCAGCUGUAAACCAUGCAAACUCAGUGAUGCAUUGGCUUGUGGCCAAUGCAGUGCUGCAGGGAAGCCGUUAAGUUUGCCGCCUGGGAAGUACGUACGCAAGUAUGAAACUUAAAGGAAUUGGCGGGGGAGCACCACAAGGGGUGAAGCCUGCGGUUCAAUUGGAUUCAACGCCGGA
rnacentral:rRNA from 1 species